AUACUGCUGAGGAGUCCCACAAUAGGACGAAACGCCCGUCCAGAGUAU
rnacentral:hammerhead_ribozyme from 1 species